UUGUUACAAUCAAAAUUAACACUUUCAAAUAAUUUCAAUAAUUUGUAAAGUAUCAAAAAAAAAAAAUUGUAAAAUAAUUGGAAAAUUCAAAAGUUAGAAAUGUAUUGUGCAAGUGUGGACUGAGAAGUGUAUCAAAAAAAUAUAAUUUGUAUUUAAACCUAAUGGACUCAAUCAUACGUUGCAAUAAUACACAAUAUACACGUAACACUAAAUACAAUUCAGUCUGAAUCAAGCUCCGUAAGAAUAAACAACAAACACCCUUCGUGAUGCUUUCGUCACUAACUGACUGCCGUCCGCAGUCAUUAUAAAAUGCUUCUUGUUACAAUCAAAAUUAACACUUUAAAAUAAUUUCAAUAAAUUGUAAAGAAUCCAAAAAAGAAUUGUAAAACAAUUAGAAAAUCUAAGAGCUAGAUUUACUAGAAAUGUGUUGUGCAAGUAAUAGAAGUAUUAGAAGUGUGGACUGAGAGAACAGCUGAGGAGAGUAUCAGGAAAAUAUAAUUUGUAUUUAAUCCUGCUGGACUCAAUUAUACGUGUAAGUCAAACAUGGAGACCCAAACUAAGAAACACUCGGAUAAUAUAUCUGUUAAAAGCGGGAAGGUGUUGCUGUUGAACUGAAUAAAGAAGCGAGUGAAUGUAAAAGCGCAUGGACAUCGGUCUGCGAUAUCCAUCCCACCUCUUAGUGACGACAAUUCAAUGGCUGCUAGCAUGGAAUACCCUAACUGUGUCCUUACAGAAGAUAAGGUAGAUGCAAGCACGUCGUCGGUUUACUCCUAUCAAGCAGUCAAAGGCUUCAAAAAGACGGAUAUUACGGAUUGGUAGACAGGAGAUGAUGGCAUCGCUGGUUUGCUGGUCGAUUAUUUACAAAACAAGCAGCAGUCCAGAUCGGUCUUCCCGUUGUGGAACGAGUUGCUUAUAACAAACUUAUUAUUUUCGAAGGUUCAGCAGUAAAGAAAGCAAUAUUAUAAGUAAA